CAAUAGCGUAUAUUAAAGUUGUUGCAGUUAGAACGCUCGUAGUCGGAUUUCGGGGCAGUCCGACCGGUCUGCCGAUGGGUAUGCACUGGCCGGAGUGUCCUUUUUGCCGGAGACCGUGCCUACUCUUAACUGAGCGGGGGCGGGCGACGGCACUUUUACUUUGAAAAAAUCAGAGUGUUUCAAGCAGGCAGCUCGCUCUUGCAUGGAUUAGCAUGGGAUAAUGAAAUAGGACUUUGGUGCUAUUUUGUUGGUUUCGAACACCGAAGUAAUGAUGAGAAGGGACAGUCAGGGGCACUCGUAUUCCGCAGAGAGAGGUGAAAUUCUCAGACCCGCGGAAGACGAACCACUGCGAAAGCAUUUGCCAGGGAUGUUUUCACUGA
rnacentral:rRNA from 1 species